UACAGAGGGGGCGAGCGUUGUUCGGAAUUACUGGGCGUAAAGGGCGCGUAGGCGGCCUCUUAAGUCGAACGUGAAAUCCCCGGGCUCAACCCGGGAACUGCGUCCGAUACUGACAGGCUUGAAUCCGGGAGAGGGAUGUGGAAUUCCAGGUGUAGCGGUGAAAUGCGUAGAUAUCUGGAGGAACACCGGUGGCGAAGGCGGCAUCCUGGACCGGUAUUGACGCUGAUGCGCGAAAGCCAGGGGAGCAAACGGG
rnacentral:rRNA from 1 species